UGGGAGGCAGGGCCUACCUAGGGGAGCUUAGGUGCAUGCAAUUCACCUGAGUAAUGGGAAGGAGUGGAGCCAGGAGCCACCCAAGAGCCACCCCUUCCCAGAACUUCUUUUAAUGGUUGGCAGUGGAGGCAGGGGUGUCUUGUUGGAGAUCCUUGUGUAUCUGAGGUCUUUCAGGGAAUAAUGAGUCUGCAGGCUGUGAGGGUCACAGCAGUUUGUUACUGUAUCCCUAUGUCUUGUCUGAAUAAGAUUACAUGAACUUCAGUGUAUCCACAGAAUGGGAAGCAGUGCUAAUACAGUACCUGAUACACAGCUGCACAAUGAAGCAGUCCCCAAAGAAAUGAAGCAGAUGAGCCAAGGAGAGCCUACAAUUGACAUCUGCAGUCCCUAACUAGAUCCCUGAGCAGAACACUAGGAUUUGGAUUAGGGUGUUGAGUUUCAAAUCUCCAUAAAAUGUGCAAGUAAUUCCUGGAGCAUUAAUCUCAACAGUCCUGUCAUGCUGCUUUUCAAGCACUCAGUUAUGCAGUUAUGUAUGUGGCCACAUGAAAGUUUUAAUUUCUUUCACUUUUCUGUGAUUUCAGUAUUGGUGACUCCAUGCUUCUGUGAAUUUGGAUGUUUCUCUGUGGAGAAGAUCUAAUGUCAGUUUUGACCAACAUAGAAUAGCAUUUGUUUUUAUGGCCUGAAAUAAAAACAUAGC